GUAGUCCACGCCGUAAACGAUGAGUGCUAGGUGUCGGGGGUCAAACCUCGGUGCCGGAGCUAACGCAUUAAGCACUCCGCCUGGGGAGUACGUACGCAAGUAUGAAACUCAAAGGAAUUGACGGGGACCCGCACAAGCAGCGGAGCAUGUGGUUUAAUUCGAAGCAACGCGAAGAACCUUACCAGGACUUGACAUCCCUUUGGCCGGUCUAGAGAUAGAUCUUUCUCUUCGGAGACAAAGGUGACAGGUGGUGCAUGGUUGUCGUCAGCUCGUGUCGUGAGAUGUUGGGUUAAGUCCCGCAACGAGCGCAACCCUUGUCUUUAGUUGCUAACAGGUUAUGCUGAGCACUCUAGAGAGACUGCCGAUGACAAAUCGGA
rnacentral:rRNA from 1 species